rnacentral:tRNA from 1 species
GCUCGCAUAGCUCAGUGGUUAGAGCACAACGCUUAUAACGUUGGGGUCGAUGGUUCAAGUCCAUCUGCGAGCACCA